rnacentral:rRNA from 1 species
UACGUAGGGGGCAAGCGUUGUCCGGAAUCAUUGGGCGUAAAGAGCGUGUAGGCGGCUCGAUAAGUCCGCUGUGAAAGUCCAGGGCUCAACCCUGGAAGGCCGGUGGAAACUGUCGGGCUAGAGUCCGGAAGAGGCGAGUGGAAUUCCUGGUGUAGCGGUGAAAUGCGCAGAUAUCAGGAGGAACACCCGUGGCGAAAGCGGCUCUCUGGGACGGUACUGACGCUGAGACGCGAAAGCGUGGGGAGCAAACAGG